UACGUAGGGUGCGAGCGUUGUCCGGAAUUAUUGGGCGUAAAGGGCUCGUAGGCGGUCUGUCACGUCGGGAGUGAAAACUCAGGGCUUAACCCUGAGCCUGCUUCCGAUACGGGCAGACUAGAGGUAUGCAGGGGAGAACGGAAUUCCUGGUGUAGCGGUGAAAUGCGCAGAUAUCAGGAGGAACACCGGUGGCGAAGGCGGUUCUCUGGGCAGUACCUGACGCUGAGGAGCGAAAGCUAGGGGAGCAAACGGG
rnacentral:rRNA from 1 species